rnacentral:rRNA from 1 species
CCCUUAGAUGUUCUGGGCCGCACGCGCGCUACACUGACGGAUUCAACGAGCUUACAACCUUGGCCGAAAGGUCUGGGUAAUCUCCAAAAUCCGUCGUGAUGGGGAUAGAUUAUUGCAAUUAUUAAUCUUCAACGAGGAAUGCCUAGUAAGCGCAAGUCAUCAGCUUGCGUUGAUUACGUCCCUGCCCUUUGUACACACCGCCCGCCGCUCCUACCGAUUGAAUGGUCCGGUGAAGCGUUUGGACUAUGGUUUUCUGAUGGUCCGCCGUUGGAUUACCGUGGGAAGUUCGUUAAACCUUAUCAUUUAGAGGAAGGAGAAGUCGUAACA